rnacentral:rRNA from 1 species
AAAAACAUGUCCUUUUGUUUAUUUAUUUAAGGUCUGACCUGCCCAAUGAGGAAUUCAAUGGCCGCAGUAUUUUAACUGUGCUAAGGUAGCAUAAUCAUUUGUCUUUUAAUUGAGGGCUGGAAUGAAAGGUUGGACGAGAUAUUAACUUUCUUUAACUUAGUUUUAAGAAUUUAAUUUUUGAGUUAAAAAGCUUAAAUUUAUUUGUUGGACGAGAAGACCCUAUAGAUCUUUAUAAUUUUAUAUUUUAGUAAUUUAGUGGUUGUAUUUAUUUUAAGUAAAAGGAUUAUUUUGUUGGGGUGACUGUAGAAUUUUAUUAACUUCUAUUAUGUUUAUUUCAUUGAUUGGUGUUUUGUUUGAUCCAUAUAUUUAUGAUUAAAAGAUUAAGUUACCUUAGGGAUAACAGCGUAAUUUCUUCGGAGAGUUCAUAUUGAUGAAGGAGUUUGCGACCUCGAUGUUGGAUUAAAGUAAGUUAUGGGUGCAGAAGCCCGUGUACUAGGUCUGUUCGACCUUUAAAUCUUUACAUGAUCUGA